GUCUCAAAUCUGUGGAGACUCACAUGGCUGAGGCAUAGAAGAGAGAAGCAAUUAGGAUACAGAGGCAAGAAAGAAGAGUUGACUCUGCACUGGAUGGAUCAGCUGACACCACCCAGAUCAGUAAUCUGGCUCAACUUGCUCUGCCAUCCUACCCAGAACAGAAAACAGCAAGAAAACCUCACUUCAACCCUGAGAGAUUCCAUCUCCAACCUGACCAAUCAGCACUCCCCACUUCCCAAGCCCCUACCUGCCAAAUUAUCUUUAAAAACUGAUCCUCGAAUGCUCCUGGAGACUGAUUCGAAUAAUAAUACAACUCCGGUCUCCCACACUGCCAGCUCUGCGUGAAUUACUCUUUCUCCAUUGCAAUUUCCGUCUUAAUAAACAGCCUCUCUCUAGGCCGUGGGCAAGGUGAACCCACUGAGCGGUUACAAAUUUUCAGAAUUGGAGAUAGCAAUGUAAAAAGUGGUCUGAUCAUGCAGGACUUUCAAAGCCAUAUUCAGAUGCUCCUUGAGGGUUACUGGUGCAGAGAGCAGCACACGUCUGGUUGAGAAGAUGGCCUGGUGUGGAAUGAUGAGCAUUUUUCCAGUGCUUCCUAAUGUACCAAUCAUCACUAUCCCUGCUUUGGUCAUGCCAUAGGCCUUUGAUUCAUGAGCAUAACUUUGUAAUUCAUUUAUCGUCUGAUGGAUGCUCAAGUAAAGUAUGCAGAAUUAAUAUAUUUUAAACUUGUUUUUAGGCAAAGAAGCAUUAUUAAGCAUCAAAUCAUUGAAAAAUGAAGGCUCUUAUUUAAAUCCAAAUUGGGAAUAUCAAUAGGAAGAUGACAUAUCUUUUUC
rnacentral:lncRNA from 10 species